rnacentral:tRNA from 1 species
GCGGGUAUCGUAUAAUGGCUAUUACCUCAGCCUUCCAAGCUGAUGAUACGGGUUCGAUUCCCGUUGCCCGCUCCA